GAUGAACGCUGGCGGCGUGCCUAAUACAUGCAAGUCGAGCGAACAGACGAGGAGCUUGCUCCUCUGACGUUAGCGGCGCACGGGUGAGUAACACGUGGAUAACCUACCUAUAAUACUGGGAUAACUUCGGGAAACCGGAGCUAACACCGGAUAAUAUAUUGCACCGCAUGGUGCAAUAGUGAAAGUCGGUUUUUCUGUCACUUAUAGAGGGAUACGGGCCGGAUUAGCUAGUUGUGAAGGUAACGGCUUACGAAGGCGACCAUGCGUAUCCGACGGCGGAGAGUGAUAGGCCGCACGGGAAGGGAGCCACGCACAAGGGGACUAAGAUAGGCAGCAGUAGGGAACCUUACGCAGUGGGCGAAAGCAUGAUGGAGUAAGCCCGCGUGAGAGGCGAAGGCCUUCCGUGCGUGAUACUCUGUUAUUGGGGAAAAACAAAUGUGGAAGUAACUGAGGACGUCUUGACGGUACCUAGUCAGAAAGCAACGGCUAACUACGUG
rnacentral:rRNA from 1 species